rnacentral:rRNA from 1 species
AACGCUGGCGGUCUGCUUAACACAUGCAAGUCGAACGCAACCUUCGGGUUGAGUGGCGGACGGGUGAGUAACGCGUGAGAAUCUGCCUUGGGGUCGGGGACAACCACUGGAAACGGUGGCUAAUACCGGAUAAGCCUUUGGGUAAAAAAUUUAUUGCCCCAAGAGGAGCUCGCGUCUGAUUAGCUAGUUGGUGAGGUAAGAGCUCACCAAGGCAGCGAUCAGUAGCUGGUCUGAGAGGACGAUCAGCCACACUGGGACUGAGACACGGCCCAGACUCCUACGGGAGGCAGCAGUGGGGAAUUUUCCGCAAUGGGCGAAAGCCUGACGGAGCAAGACCGCGUGAGGGAGGAAGGCUCUUGGGUUGUAAACCUCUUUUCUCAGGGAAGAAGCUCUGACGGUACCUGAGGAAUCAGCCUCGGCUAACUCCGUGCCAGCAGCCGCGGUAAUACGGAGGAGGCAAGCGUUAUCCGGAAUUAUUGGGCGUAAAGCGUCCGCAGGUGGCGAUUCAAGUCUGCUGUCAAAGCACGGGGCUUAACUCCGUUAAGGCAGUGGAAACUGAAUAGCUAGAGUGCCGUAGGGGUAGAGGGAAUUCCCGGUGUAGCGGUGAAAUGCGUAGAGAUCGGGAAGAACAUCGGUGGCGAAAGCGCUCUACUGGACGGCAACUGACACUCAGGGACGAAAGCUAGGGGAGCGAAUGGGAUUAGAUACCCCAGUAGUCCUAGCUGUAAACGAUGGAUACUAGGUGUAGCUUGUAUCGAGCCGAGCUGUGCCGAAGCUAACGCGGUUAAGUAUCCCGACUGGGGAGUACGC